GCAAGAAGCCUGUGAUGUCUUAGCCACAAUGUCUGAACCUGGCUGAAGGAUUCUUCUGAAGACACACACUUGGGCACUGAGGCUUCCAGGAGA
rnacentral:snoRNA from 7 species